rnacentral:rRNA from 1 species
UACGAAGGGUGCUAGCGUUAUUCGGAUUAACUGGGCGUAAAGAGCGUGUCGGCGGUUUUUUAAGUCAACUGUAAAAGAGCUCGGCUUAACUGAGUAAAUGCGGGUGAUACUGGAAGACUAGAGUACGGGAGAGAAAGGUAGAAUUCUCGGAGUAGCGGUAAAAUGCGUAGAUCUCGAGAGGAAUACCGGUUGCGAAGGCGGCCUUUUGGCCCGUAACUGACGCUUAAGCGCGAAAGCGUGGGGAGCAAACAGG